AGAGAUAAAUUCCCAUCUGUCCUCAAGUGUCCUCCGCCGAAAUUGAAAUCGAAAUCAUCUUCUUCUUCCUCCUUGCGUCUGUUUAUGCAACUCAACCUCUUCGUCUUCUUACCUUUCCUCGCAUUCUCAUCCUUGGCAGAAGAAUCAAAUCCCUCCCAACUCCAAAACAUGGCCACUCUCGGCGGAGUCCACGAAUCCCAUGCCUCCCAGAACAGCCUCGAAACCAAGACCUCGCUCGCUUCGCCGUCCAAGACCAUAACAACACGGAGAAUGCUCUGCUUGAGUUUGCUGGAACUUGCUCGUGUGAGUCUGCAUGAAAGUAUAAAUCAAUGUUACACCAGUAUCUGUCAAAUUUCAUUCAUCCUGAUUGAUGAAAACAAUUGAUUAAAUAAAAAUCUCCUUCAAGUUUCAUUCAAGAUUUGGAUGUUUUUCUCACAGUUUCCUUCAUCCUACUGUUUCAUGGGAGCAAAGUAUAUCUGGGAGGGAGGGAUUUUGUAAUCUGUGAAUCCUUGCUGAGGAAUGUUCUUAUUAAAUUGAUUCAUUAAAAAUUGUCAGAUCCUUGCUGAGGAAUUAGUUUCUUCUUUCUGUUAGGUUGUGAAUCAUACUCCAUUUUAUGAUUUCAUUGAAAGUGCUGCACUAUUACUUUAA